GACGAAGGGGGCUAGCGUUGUUCGGAUUUACUGGGCGUAAAGGGCGCGUAGGCGGCCAGCACAGGUCAGUUGGGAAAUCUCCGAGCUUAACUCGGAAAGGUCAACUGAUACUGUGCGGCUAGAGUGCGGAAGGGGCAACUGGAAUUCUUGGUGUAGCGGUGAAAUGCGUAGAUAUCAAGAGGAACCCCUGCGGCGAAGGCGGGUUGCUGGGCCGACACUGACGCUGAGGCGCGAAAGCCAGGGGAGAGAACGGG
rnacentral:rRNA from 1 species